UGGUAUUACAGUAAGUCACUCACUAGCACCUCUUGAGGGCAGUGCAGUGGAGUGCAAUGGCCUAGAACCGCCAAGGUGUCACUGAGGUGCCACUGAGCAAAGCAGAGGACACAAUUCAUUCUGUCACCGCGCGCUGUGCUGUGUUUCACUUUUUUUUUUUUUUUCAUUCUUUCUUGAGACGCACACUGAAACAUGGCUCUCAAGUCCUCUCAUGAGAUACACCUUCUUGGCAUUGCUCACACUUAGAGAUGUUUACCAGACAAAAAUGUAGACCGGUAACCCAAUUUGGACUGCGCAUGGUUACCCCGACAGCCACAUGGUACGGCCAUAACCUAACCCUAGCCCUAUCCUUACCCAAAUCGGGUAGGCACAGGCCUCACAGUGGCUGCAGCCAGAUGCUCUUGGCCGCCGCUGGAGCACAUGCGCACUGCCCGUCCCCACCGUCGCCCCCACCAAUCUCACGCGAACGUCAUCAUUUGUGAGUCCUGCUUAUAUUAAAUAACGGCAACAACACACGCUGACAUCUUCGGCAUCAUUUCUUCACAUUCUCUUGAUAAUUACGGUUACUUCGAUGAAAAUUCAAAACAAAAAAUCUUACACAUUGCACCACCGUUAACUGAUGUAAGUAAGACUGUUGACUGCAAUUAAAUAAAAUGUGAUGUCUGGUUCUUUACAGAAACGCCUUUAUUUCAGGCACUGGGGUAUUGGCUGUACAAAGAGGGGACUUCAUAUCAUAUAGAAAUUUCUAGUAAAAGCAACUUGUCCAUUCUUGUUAAACUGUAUGGAGAAAAUGCCACUCGAUCUGUGAAUACAGAUACCUUGUGUAAAGGGGCGACGUUUGAUGACAGAUGCAACCGUAUGUAGGAGAGCUUCGUUGAACCAGAGUGCUUAAUUUUUUGAGAAUUCUGUUAAAUGAUUACGCUCAUUUUUUUUAUUUGGCAUUUACUAUGUAUCUGUUUUUUCACCAUUCAGUAUAUUCACAGUCCUUCGGAUACAGGAUCGACCUGAACAAUGACUUAAAAUGUCGAUUGUGUGGGAAUCCUGCGAAACCCCUAAGUGUGCUAAAAGUGAAUUUUACAUUUGGAGAUGAAAAGGGCAGCGCAAUAUCUCCCAAAGAUGCUGCUACGGCCAUGAAAGACUUGCGCUCUGUGGCGGACAUGAUGGGCAACUUGACAGCCGCCGCCAUUUCCAUAGGGCCCGUCUCCGGGGUCAUGGUGAAAGCAAACAACAUAAGUACUGUUCAAACGCUGUCCAUUGUGCAGAGUGACAAUUUAAGUAUUGUUGAGUCUGAAGAUGUAUUCUCAAAGUAUCCCAUUUCACUAUCUGUUCCAAAGGAAGCAUUUGAGAUAGCUUUUCGUUCCCAGAAUACUACAUUUGCUGGUGUGUUUAAAUUCCCAAACUUGGGACAGGAUACUCAGAAUACUCUCUAUAAUUCCAUUUAUGCCAUUGAGAUGGGAGUGAAUGUCUCUAAUCUCUCCAAUCCAAUCAGACUAAACAUCAAAUUGGACAAGGAGGGGACAAGAAACUACACUUGCUCAUCCUGGGAUGGAGAAGGUAUUGUGAUUAUUUCGUGGUUCUAUUAAAGCAUUUCGAAUGAUUGUUAGUUUAAAGACGGCUGAGGG
ensembl:lncRNA